rnacentral:rRNA from 1 species
GACGAACGCUGGCGGCGUGCUUAACGCAUGCAAGUCGAACGAUGAUCAGGAGCUUGCUCCUGUGAUUAGUGGCGAACGGGUGAGUAACACGUGAGUAACCUGCCCCUGACUCUGGGAUAAGCGUUGGAAACGACGUCUAAUACUGGAUAUGAUCACUGGCCGCAUGGUCUGGUGGUGGAAAGAUUUUUUGGUUGGGGAUGGACUCGCGGCCUAUCAGCUUGUUGGUGAGGUAAUGGCUCACCAAGGCGACGACGGGUAGCCGGCCUGAGAGGGUGACCGGCCACACUGGGACUGAGACACGGCCCAGACUCCUACGGGAGGCAGCAGUGGGGAAUAUUGCACAAUGGGCGAAAGCCUGAUGCAGCAACGCCGCGUGAGGGAUGACGGCCUUCGGGUUGUAAACCUCUUUUAGUAGGGAAGAAGCGAAAGUGACGGUACCUGCAGAAAAAGCACCGGCUAACUACGUG